UAGGAAUCUUCCACAAUGGACGCAAGUCUGAUGGAGCAACGCCGCGUGAGUGAAGAAGGUUUUCGGACCGUAAAGCUCUGUUGUUGGUGAAGAAGGAUAGAGGUAGUAACUGGCCUUUAUUUGACGGUAAUCAACCAGAAAGUCACGGCUAACUACGUGCCAGCAGCCGCGGUAAUACGUAGGUGGCAAGCGUUGUCCGGAUUUAUUGGGCGUAAAGCGAGCGCAGGCGGAAGAAUAAGUCUGAUGUGAAAGCCCUCGGCUUAACCGAGGAAUUGCAUCGGAAACUGUUUUCUUGAGUGCAGAAGGGGAGAGUAGAACUCCAUGUGUAGCGGUGGAAUGCGUAGAUAUAUGGAAGAAUACCAGUGGCGAAGGCGGCUCUCUGGUCUGCAACUGACGCUGAGGCUCGAAAGCAUGGGUAGCGAACAGGAUUAGAUACCCUGGUAGUCCAUGCCGUAAACGAUGAGUGCUAAGUGUUGGGAGGCUUCCGCCUCUCAGUGCUGCAGCUAACGCAUUAAGCACUCCGCCUGGGGAGUACGACCGCAAGGUUGAA
rnacentral:rRNA from 1 species